rnacentral:rRNA from 1 species
GACGAACGCUGGCGGCGUGCUUAACACAUGCAAGUCGAGCGGUAAGGCCCUUUCGGGGGUACGACGAGCGGCGAACGGGUGAGUAACACGUGGGUGACCUGCCCUCCAGCUCUGGGAUAAGCCUGGGAAACUGGGUCUAAUACUGGAUAUGACUCCACGGUGCAUGUCGUGGGGUGGAAAGCCUUGUGCGGCUGAGGAUGGGCCCGCGGCCUAUCAGCUUGUUGGUGGGUGAUGGCCUACCAAGGCGACGACGGGUAGCCGGCCUGAGAGGGCGACCGGCCACACUGGGACUGAGACACGGCCCAGACUCCUACGGGAGGCG